GCUUUGGGUGGAUGAGUGGCGAACGGGUGAGUAACACGUGAGUAACCUGCCCCUGAUUUCGGGAUAAGCCUGGGAAACUGGGUCUAAUACCGGAUACGACCACCUGACGCAUGUUGGGUGGUGGAAAGUUUUUCGAUCGGGGAUGGGCUCGCGGCCUAUCAGCUUGUUGGUGGGGUAAUGGCCUACCAAGGCGACGACGGGUAGCCGGCCUGAGAGGGCGACCGGCCACACUGGGACUGAGACACGGCCCAGACUCCUACGGGAGGCAGCAGUGGGGAAUAUUGCACAAUGGGGGAAACCCUGAUGCAGCGACGCAGCGUGCGGGAUGACGGCCUUCGGGUUGUAAACCGCUUUCAGCAGGGAAGAAGCGAAAGUGACGGUACCUGCAGAAGAAGUACCGGCUAACUACGUGCCAGCAGCCGCGGUAAUACGUAGGGUACGAGCGUUGUCCGGAAUUAUUGGGCGUAAAGAGCUCGUAGGUGGUUGGUCACGUCUGCUGUGGAAACGCAACGCUUAACGUUGCGCGUGCAGUGGGUACGGGCUGACUAGAGUGCAGUAGGGGAGUCUGGAAUUCCUGGUGUAGCGGUGAAAUGCGCAGAUAUCAGGAGGAACACCGGUGGCGAAGGCGGGACUCUGGGCUGUAACUGACACUGAGGAGCGAAAGCAUGGGGAGCGAACAGGAUUAGAUACCCUGGUAGUCCAUGCCGUAAACGUUGGGCACUAGGUGUGGGGGACAUUCCACGUUCUCGCGCCGUAGCUAACGCAUUAAGUGCCCCGCCUGGGGGAGUACGGUCGCAAGGCUAAAACUCAAAGGAAUUGACGG
rnacentral:rRNA from 1 species